CUCUUGGUAUAAAUCAAGUAACCCCUGCCCUAUGAAAUUGUUAAAUGGCCGCAGUAUCCUGACUGUGCAAAGGUAGCAUAAUCAUUUGUCUCUUAAAUGGGGGCUGGAAUGAAGGGGGCGACGAGAUGCAUUCUUUUGAAAUUUUAAGUUAAUUUGACAUAAAAGUUAAAAGGCUUUUAUAUCUCUGGGGGACGAUAAGACCCUAUAAAACUUUACUCUAAAAUAAUUUAUAAAGAAGGUAAGAAAUAAGAGUUUAACUGGGGCGGUUUAUAUAGCAUCUAUAUAAGGUAAAAUAUAAAAGAUAGCAGGUAAUAACUUAAUUUAAAAUUUAAAUAAGUUACUUUAGGGAUAACAGCAUAACCCCCCCGGAGAGUCCUAAUCGGCGGGGGGAUUUAUGACCUCGAUGUUGAAUUGGGGAGACUCUUUUGGGCAGCUUUAAAAGAAGUUAGUCUGUUCGACUAUUAAACCCCC
rnacentral:rRNA from 1 species